GCCGCACUGACGCAAAUUUGGCAGACGUGUCGGUUUCAGAAACCGAAUGAUCCGAGUUCGAAUCUCGGGUGCGGCACCA
rnacentral:tRNA from 1 species